rnacentral:lncRNA from 1 species
GAGAAAAAGAGGUGGAGGGAUGCAGAGAAAAGGAGUGUAGGUGCUGCAGGAAAAAUGGCAUCUCUUAUAUUUCAGAAAUGCAAACACUACAGUGAUAAUGCAAACACACGUGAUAAGAAAGUGUGACUUGCGUUCCCUACUUAAGGCUUCGCUGAAAUUGCCCAAUACUUAUGGGAAAACAGCUGACAGAGUAAUUAGAGAUGGUGCAUAUAAUUUAUCAUUCGUAGUCUUGAACUUCGUGCAGCUGAUUUGGAUGACCAGAUGACUUGUACAUGUAGACUAAGUGCUUGAGGUGGGGAGUGUGGUUUGAACAGAGAAGAGCAUUAAAAAAAUAACUAAUUUACCCAGGAUCCUCUGUUUUUAACCCAUAAAAUACAAAAGACAUGCCUGGAGUUGUCCUGAUAUGGGGGAAAUUCUUUUGAGACAGAUUUCACACUGCAAGAAGUACCGAGGCUGCUUUACUGCUGAUGGAAGGACAGCCCGGACACCUACAAUUUCAGACUAUCUCAGGUGGUGGCUGCAAAAUGAAAAUGCUCGACUGAUAAACACUUGUGAGGUAGGUGAAAGAGGCUCUCAUUUCAAGUUCAAAUCCAACAUCUUCCCCCGCAGUUUGAGGGAGAGGAUUAGGUCCCUUUGCCACACAUUUCUCCUGUCUCCACCCCUCCCACCCCCUCCUUCAGCAUCUAUAUCCAAACCCUGCAUCUGA